ensembl:ncRNA T04C12.17 ncRNA
CUGAAAUAGUACGCAUAAAUUUAAUCAUCGAAUGUAUUAAUUAUUUACCUCUCUUGGAUUGGGCCUCGUCUCCGACGUACGAGUCCUUCUGUCCCAUACCGACCAUGACUCCUUGAUGACGUGGUCUUCCGACAAUGGAUGGGAACACGGCGCGUGGAGCGUCGUCUCCG